rnacentral:rRNA from 1 species
UACGUAGGGGGCAAGCGUUGUCCGGAUUUAUUGGGCGUAAAGAGCGUGUAGGCGGCCGUACAGGUCAGCUGUGAAAACUCGAGGCUCAACCUCGAGACGUCGGUUGAAACCGUACGGCUAGAGUCCGGAAGAGGAGAGUGGAAUUCCCGGUGUAGCGGUGAAAUGCGUAGAGAUCGGCAGGAACACCCAGGGGGAAACCAGCCGACUGGGCAUCUGCUGACGCUGGGGUGCGAGAGCGUGGGGAGCGAACCGG